GACGAACGCUGGCGGCGUGCUUAACACAUGCAAGUCGAACGGUGAAGGGACUGGUUUUUGCUGGUUCUGGAUGAGUGGCGAACGGGUGAGUAACACGUGAGUAACCUGCCCCCUUCUUCUGGAUAACCGCAUGAAAGUGUGGCUAAUGCGGGAUAUUUUGCGCCUGCUGCAUGGUGGGUGUGGGACAGAUGUUGUUUCGGUGGGGGAUGGGCUCGCGGCCUAUCAGCUUGGUGGUGGGGUGAUGGCCUACCUAGGCGGUGACGGAUAGCGGGCCUGAGAGGGUGGACGGACACUGGGGGACUGAGACACGGCCCAGACUCCCAGGAGGGGCAGGAGUGGGGAAUAUUGCACAAGGGGCGCAAGUCUGAUGCAGAGACGCCGCGUGAGGGAUGGAGGCCUUCGGGUUGUAAACCUCUUUCGCCAGUGAAGCAGGCCUGUCCCUUUUGUGGGUGGGUUGACGGUAGCUGGAUAAGAAACGCCGGCUAACUACGGGC
rnacentral:rRNA from 1 species